rnacentral:rRNA from 1 species
AGGUACCCUGAUGAUCCGUAUGACAGGUUGUGGUUCCCUUUUCGUGACGCAACAGCUGACUGGGCUGAGAUAUCAACGGGGAUGAAGGUGGAAAGUGAUGACGGCCAAUUCCAGCCGCCCCAAGCAGUGAUGCAGACGGCCAUCACGCCCAAGAACAUGUCCAAGGGAGUAGAUUUUACCUUGGACCUCCAGAGUUCCCCUAGUGACCGGUCCCUGGGGUACAUCCAUAUCUUGUACUUCUCCGAACUGCAACAACUCCCCAGCAGCAAUGCAUUACGGGAGUACAACAUCUAUCGGAAUGGCAUCUUGUCCUACAAAGCCUACACUCCGCCAUACCUUGCCGGGAGAUGGUUGUUCUCAACCAAGCCCUUUCAAGCCAGCCAGUACAUGCUCUCCCUCAACGCCACCACUAACUCGACGCUGCCACCCAUCAUCAACGCCAUCGAGCUAUUCUCCGUCAUCCCAACCACCACCAUGAGCACCGACUCAAAGGAUGUAUCUGCCAUCACGGCGAUCAAGGAGAUGUACCAGGUGCAGAAGAAUUGGAUGGGUGACCCGUGCGUUCCCGAUACUCUGGUCUGGGAUGGCUUGACCUGCAGCUACGCCGUUUCUAAACCCCCAAUUAUCUCAAACGUAAACGUCUCCUUCAGUGGUCUGAAUGGUACUAUAUUACCUUAUUUUGCAAAUCUCAAGGAUGUCCGAUACUUGGAUAUGUCAAACAAUAACUUGAUAGGUUCAAUUCCAGAUACCCUUUCACGAUUACCAUCAUUAGUGUUUUUAGAUCUCUCGAACAACAAGCUCAAUGGGUCAAUUCCUUCUGGACUUCUCAAAAAAAAAAAUCAAGAUGGCUCCUUGGAUCUAAGGCAUGGCAACAAUCCCGACCUCUGUUCUAAUGGCAACUCAUGUCAGCCUGCUGAAGGGGACAACAAACUAGCCACCCACAUAGUUGUUUCUGUAGUUGUGAUUGUGGUGUUAGUAUUAGUGGCAAUACUCUGCUUUUGGUUGCAAAGAAGAAGAAAGCAAGGAUCAAUCAAAAAGUCUGUAGAGUUGACAAAUGAUGGAGAUGGAAAUAUCUCACUUGAACUUGAGAACCGUCAGUUCACGUACAUGGAACUGGAGAUGAUAACGAAUAACUUCCAGCGACUGCUUGGGCGAGGAGGGUUUGGGUAUGUCUUCCACGGCUGCCUGGAAAAUGGCACUGAGGUGGCAGUAAAGUUGAGGUCUCAUUCUUCAAAUCAAGGUGUCAAACAGUUCCUCGCAGAGGCUCAAGUUUUAACACGGAUUCAUCACAAGAAUCUGGUGCCUAUGAUUGGUUUCUGCAAGGAUCGGGAGCACCUGGCACUUGUCUACGAGUACAUGCCUAAAGGAACCCUACAAGAACAGGUUGCAGGACAAGACAACAACGGACGAGGUUUACCCUGGAGGCAAAGACUCCGAGUCGCACUUGAAUCAGCGCAAGGGCUGGAGUACCUACACAAGGGGUGCAGCCCACCUAUAAUUCACAGGGAUGUGAAAACUGCCACCAUCUUGUUAAACGAGAGGCUGGAGGCCAAGAUUGCCGAUUUUGGCUUGUCCAAGGCUUUCAACAACGAUGACACCCAUGUAUCCACGAACACAUUUGUCGGGACACCCGGAUAUGUAGAUCCAGAGUAUCAAAGAACAAUGCAGCCAUCCACCAAGAGCGACGUGUACAGUUUUGGUGUCGUCCUGCUAGAGCUAGUCACUGGGAAGCCAGCCAUCCUGCGCAACCCCGAGCCUAUCACCAUCAUCAACUGGGUGCGACAGCAGCCUGCGCGGGGCGACAUUGAGGGUGUGGUGGACGCACAUAUGCAAGGUGAUCAUGACAUCAAUGCCAUUUGGAAGACUACGGAAACUGCGCUCAAGUGCACUGAGCAAGCACCCGUGCAGCGGCCCUCCAUGAUGGAUGUCAUGAUGCAGCUACAGGAGUGCCUCGAUCUCGAGGAGGGCUGCACAGGAGUUGGCAUGAACCCAGACAUGGGUUACAACGCCACCACUAACCAGUCCGUUGAUGUGAGCCAGAACAAUGCUUUUGAGAUAAAGCAUAGUUAUACUAGAGGGCAACCAAUGGAUAACGAUCCUGCAUCUACACGAUGA